rnacentral:rRNA from 1 species
GACGAACGCUGGCGGCGUGCUUAACACAUGCAAGUCGAACGGUGAAAGCGGAGCUUGCUCCGCUGGAUCAGUGGCGAACGGGUGAGUAACACGUGGGCAACCUGCCCCUCACUUCGGGAUAACUCCGGGAAACCGGGGCUAAUACCGGAUAUGACCUCCUUGGGCAUCCUUGGAGGUGGAAAGUUUUUCGGUGAGGGAUGGGCCCGCGGCCUAUCAGCUUGUUGGUGAGGUAGUGGCUCACCAAGGCGACGACGGGUAGCCGGCCUGAGAGGGCGACCGGCCACACUGGGACUGGGAUACGGCCCAGACUCCUACGGGAGGCAGCAGUGGGGAAUAUUGCACAAUGGGCGCAAGCCUGAUGCAGCGACGCCGCGUGAGGGAUGACGGCCUUCGGGUUGUAAACCUCUUUCAGCACCGACGAAGCGCAAGUGACGGUAGGUGCAGAAGAAGGACCGGCCAACUACGUGCCAGCCGCCGCGGUAA